rnacentral:rRNA from 1 species
AUUGAACGCUGGCGGCAGGCUUAACACAUGCAAGUCGAGCGAGCGGCGGACGGGUGAGUAAUGUCUGGGAAACUGCCUGAUGGAGGGGGAUAACUACUGGAAACGGUAGCUAAUACCGCAUACCAUCAGAUGUGCCCAGAUGGGAUUAGCUAGUAGGUGGGGUAAUGGCUCACCUAGGCGACGAUCCCUAGCUGGUCUGAGAGGAUGACCGGCCACACUGGACCUGAGACACGGUCCAGACUCUGACGGGCGGCAGCCGUGGGGCAGUUUGCACAAGGGGCGCAAGCCUGAUGCAGCCAUGCCGCGUGUGUGAUGAAGGCCUUGGGUUUGUAAAGCACUUUCCGCGAGGAGGCGUUACUCCAAGAAGAAGCACCGGCUAACUCCGUGCCAGACGCCGCGGUAAUAC